GGUUAAGCGACUAAGCGUACACGGUGGAUGCCCUGGCAGUCAGAGGCGAUGAAGGACGUGCUAAUCUGCGAUAAGCGUCGGUAAGGUGAUAUGAACCGUUAUAACCGGCGAUUUCCGAAUGGGGAAACCCAGUGUGUUUCGACACACUAUCAUUAACUGAAUCCAUAGGUUAAUGAGGCGAACCGGGGGAACUGAAACAUCUAAGUACCCCGAGGAAAAGAAAUCAACCGAGAUUCCCCCAGUAGCGGNNNNNNNNNNNNNNNNNNNNNNNNNNNNNNNNNNNNNNNNNNNNNNNNNNNNNNNNNUGGAAAGGCGCGCGAUACAGGGUGACAGCCCCGUACACAAAAAUGCACAUAUUGUGAGCUCGAUGAGUAGGGCGGGACACGUGGUAUCCUGUCUGAAUAUGGGGGGACCAUCCUCCAAGGCUAAAUACUCCUGACUGACCGAUAGUGAACCAGUACCGUGAGGGAAAGGCGAAAAGAACCCCGGCGAGGGGAGUGAAAAAGAACCUGAAACCGUGUACGUACAAGCAGUGGGAGCACGCUUAGGCGUGUGACUGCGUACCUUUUGUAUAAUGGGUCAGCGACUUAUAUUCUGUAGCAAGGUUAACCGAAUAGGGGAGCCGAAGGGAAACCGAGUCUUAACUGGGCGUUAAGUUGCAGGGUAUAGACCCGAAACCCGGUGAUCUAGCCAUGGGCAGGUUGAAGGUUGGGUAACACUAACUGGAGGACCGAACCGACUAAUGUUGAAAAAUUAGCGGAUGACUUGUGGCUGGGGGUGAAAGGCCAAUCAAACCGGGAGAUAGCUGGUUCUCCCCGAAAGCUAUUUAGGUAGCGCCUCGUGAAUUCAUCUCCGGGGGUAGAGCACUGUUUCGGCAAGGGGGUCAUCCCGACUUACCAACCCGAUGCAAACUGCGAAUACCGGAGAAUGUUAUCACGGGAGACACACGGCGGGUGCUAACGUCCGUCGUGAAGAGGGAAACAACCCAGACCGCCAGCUAAGGUCCCAAAGUCAUGGUUAAGUGGGAAACGAUGUGGGAAGGCCCAGACAGCCAGGAUGUUGGCUUAGAAGCAGCCAUCAUUUAAAGAAAGCGUAAUAGCUCACUGGUCGAGUCGGCCUGCGCGGAAGAUGUAACGGGGCUAAACCAUGCACCGAAGCUGCGGCAGCGACACUAUGUGUUGUUGGGUAGGGGAGCGUUCUGUAAGCCUGUGAAGGUGUGCUGUGAGGCAUGCUGGAGGUAUCAGAAGUGCGAAUGCUGACAUAAGUAACGAUAAAGCGGGUGAAAAGCCCGCUCGCCGGAAGACCAAGGGUUCCUGUCCAACGUUAAUCGGGGCAGGGUGAGUCGACCCCUAAGGCGAGGCCGAAAGGCGUAGUCGAUGGGAAACAGGUUAAUAUUCCUGUACUUGGUGUUACUGCGAAGGGGGGACGGAGAAGGCUAUGUUGGCCGGGCGACGGUUGUCCCGGUUUAAGCGUGUAGGCUGGUUUUCCAGGCAAAUCCGGAAAAUCAAGGCUGAGGCGUGAUGACGAGGCACUACGGUGCUGAAGCAACAAAUGCCCUGCUUCCAGGAAAAGCCUCUAAGCAUCAGGUAACAUCAAAUCGUACCCCAAACCGACACAGGUGGUCAGGUAGAGAAUACCAAGGCGCUUGAGAGAACUCGGGUGAAGGAACUAGGCAAAAUGGUGCCGUAACUUCGGGAGAAGGCACGCUGAUAUGUAGGUGAAGUCCCUCGCGGAUGGAGCUGAAAUCAGUCGAAGAUACCAGCUGGCUGCAACUGUUUAUUAAAAACACAGCACUGUGCAAACACGAAAGUGGACGUAUACGGUGUGACGCCUGCCCGGUGCCGGAAGGUUAAUUGAUGGGGUUAGCCGCAAGGCGAAGCUCUUGAUCGAAGCCCCGGUAAACGGCGGCCGUAACUAUAACGGUCCUAAGGUAGCGAAAUUCCUUGUCGGGUAAGUUCCGACCUGCACGAAUGGCGUAAUGAUGGCCAGGCUGUCUCCACCCGAGACUCAGUGAAAUUGAACUCGCUGUGAAGAUGCAGUGUACCCGCGGCAAGACGGAAAGACCCCGUGAACCUUUACUAUAGCUUGACACUGAACAUUGAGCCUUGAUGUGUAGGAUAGGUGGGAGGCUUUGAAGUGUGGACGCCAGUCUGCAUGGAGCCGACCUUGAAAUACCACCCUUUAAUGUUUGAUGUUCUAACGUUGACCCGUAAUCCGGGUUGCGGACAGUGUCUGGUGGGUAGUUUGACUGGGGCGGUCUCCUCCUAAAGAGUAACGGAGGAGCACGAAGGUUGGCUAAUCCUGGUCGGACAUCAGGAGGUUAGUGCAAUGGCAUAAGCCAGCUUGACUGCGAGCGUGACGGCGCGAGCAGGUGCGAAAGCAGGUCAUAGUGAUCCGGUGGUUCUGAAUGGAAGGGCCAUCGCUCAACGGAUAAAAGGUACUCCGGGGAUAACAGGCUGAUACCGCCCAAGAGUUCAUAUCGACGGCGGUGUUUGGCACCUCGAUGUCGGCUCAUCACAUCCUGGGGCUGAAGUAGGUCCCAAGGGUAUGGCUGUUCGCCAUUUAAAGUGGUACGCGAGCUGGGUUUAGAACGUCGUGAGACAGUUCGGUCCCUAUCUGCCGUGGGCGCUGGAGAACUGAGGGGGGCUGCUCCUAGUACGAGAGGACCGGAGUGGACGCAUCACUGGUGUUCGGGUUGUCAUGCCAAUGGCACUGCCCGGUAGCUAAAUGCGGAAGAGAUAAGUGCUGAAAGCAUCUAAGCACGAAACUUGCCCCGAGAUGAGUUCUCCCUGACUCCUUGAGAGUCCUGAAGGAACGUUGAAGACGACGACGUUGAUAGGCCGGGUGUGUAAGCGCAGCGAUGCGUUGAGCUAACCGGUACUAAUGAACCGUGAGGCUUAACCUU
rnacentral:rRNA from 1 species